rnacentral:rRNA from 1 species
UACGUAGGUGGCAAGCGUUUGUCCGGAAUUAUUGGGCGUAAAGCGCGCGCAGGCGGUCCUUUAAGUCUGAUGUGAAAGCCCACGGCUCAACCGUGGAGGGUCAUUGGAAACUGGGGGACUUGAGUGCAGAAGAGGAAAGCGGAAUUCCACGUGUAGCGGUGAAAUGCGUAGAGAUGUGGAGGAACACCAGUGGCGAAGGCGGCUUUUUGGUCUGUAACUGACGCUGAGGCGCGAAAGCGUGGGGAGCAAACAGG